rnacentral:lncRNA from 1 species
AAAGAACCAUCAAGUAGAUCCCGGGAACUAUAAAUUACCCAAAAAAACAGUAAAGAGAAAUAGAACAUUUUGGAGAGUUGAGAGGCAAGUAAACUUACAUUAGCAGCAUGUAGGUAACCGAAAUUGAACGUCAGAUUGGCCCAUUUAUUAAGGUUAUAUGAAUUCUUCCAUUCUGUAAUCAAUUUAGCCAAUCGGAUAACCUUUAACCCAUGUUGUACAAGAAACAGGUUCAUCAGAGAGAAAAAUUCCUGGCCACUAAUUCUUUGACUAUAAGCUAGAAGCACCAACACCUGAAUAGUUUGUAGGAACUCCAAAAACAGUUAUUUCUCUUACUUCACCCUGCGGAAUACACAGAAAUGGAACUCCACAGACAUUUAUUUCUCUUACUCCUCUCAUGAUCCUACUGGUCCUGUUCAUUUCAACGCCAGAAACCAGUCUCGACGUUCCUUCCUCUAAAUUCAUUCAAGUCUUGAGACCUUGGAAAAACAAAAAAAUCAUCUUCAUCAUGGUCACAUAUACAAUAAUUGUAAUAAUAUAUAGCCUGAUCAUAAGUUCAGUAGGACUCUAUAAGUAUAUCAUCAAAUUAAUAAACAAGUCACUUACGAAGGAAAAUUAAAGUAAAUGAAGCAAAGCUUAAAUUCAGUUUCCUUCAAUUAAAUACAGGUGGAUCCUUCACGAAUCAGCACUUCAGUGGCUCAGUCUUCGGUGGAUGCUUAUGUUAUGUGUUAAUAAAUAUCAGAGGCACGACCCAAAGACUUCGAUUUUUCAAGUCAACCAGGAACACAUAAUUAUUGUUUGGGGUCCGCUUAUAAUAUUUUCAGGCUAGCUCUGUAGCUCAAGCAUGAAAAACGGGGAAAGUAAAGUGCAAGAAAAUUCCAGAUUCUUUUUUCAAUUGUUCUUUAUACUGUGUAGCUAAUGUACAAAAGUGAAAAUGAAUCUUUGCUUGCAUUUUUUUAAAUUAGCGGCAUAAAAAGAAUGGAGUGAAAAGUACAGAGACCUUGAAUGAUCAUUGAAAGCCAUUAAAGAAUGUAGACAAAAGUUAAUUGCAUUAGAAAGUACUAAUAAUGAAUUAUUUAGACAAAAUAUAGUAUUGCAAAAUCAAUGUCAGAUUUUAUUACUUAUCAGUUAUCACCAGAAAACUCAAAACACUUCAACAAAAGCUAGCACUAGAAGAAAUAUUUAACCAUUCCCCAGUAGGACAAUUAAUAAAAAUUCAAAAAAUUUCUUCCCUCAUUGGUGAUAGUAUAGACAUUGUAAAAAAAAUUUUAUUUCAGUAGCCAAUCAAAUAUUCUAUAGCAUAUUAAAUUUCUUAGAAUUGUUAAAUUACAAUAAGAAAUUUAUGCCAAAAUCUUAGUACAUUAAUAAGACCAUUAUAUAAUAAAUUAAGUAAAAAUGGACAAAAGUAUUUUAAAUUUUAUAGUGAAGAUAUUAAAUUAAUACAAAAACUUAAAGAAAUAGGAAUUUUUUUAAUCUACAUCAUCAUAUGUUAAUUCCUCAUUAUUACAUAAUUCUUCAAAUAAUUCUUCAUCUAAACAUUUUUAGGAUUAUUAAAUAUUAAUUCUAUAAUCUUAUCUCUAAUAUUAUGUAGAGUUUUCUCUUUAUCUGUAUUUAAAUUUUUUACUAUAGCAUAAAAAGAAUGGAGUGAAAAGUACAGAGACCUUGAAUGAUCAUUGAAAGCCAUUAAAGAAUGUAGACAAAAGUUAAUUGCAUUAGAAAGUACUAAUAAUGAAUUAUUUAGACAAAAUAUAGUAUUGCAAAAUCAAUGUCAGAUUUUAUUACUUAUCAGUUAUCACCAGAAAACUCAAAACACUUCAACAAAAGCUAGCACUAGAAGAAAUAUUUAACCAUUCCCCAGUAGGACAAUUAAUAAAAAUUCAAAAAAUUUCUUCCCUUAUUGGUGAUAGUAUAGACAUUGUAAAAAAAAAAAUUAUAAAAAUUUUUAGCAAGAUUUUAUUUCAGUAGCCAAUCAAAUAUUCUAUAGCAUAUUAAAUUUCUUAGAAUUGUUAAAUUACAAUAAGAAAUUUAUGCCAAAAUCUUAGUACAUUAAUAAGACCAUUAUAUAAUAAAUUAAGUAAAAAUGGACAAAAGUAUUUUAAAUUUUAUAGUGAAUAUAUUAAAUUAAUACAAAAACUUAAAGAAAUAGGAUUUUUUUUUUCUCUACAUCAUCAUAUGUUAAUUCCUCAUUAUUACAUAAUUCUUCAAAUAAUUCUUCAUCUAAACAUUUUUAGGAUUAUUAAAUAUUAAUUCUAUAAUCUUAUCUCUAAUAUUAUGUAGAGUUUUCUCUUUAUCUGUAUUUAAAUUUUUUACUAUAGCCAUAUUUAUUUCUAUUUCUUCUUCAUUUUCUUCUAAUUAUGGAUUACCUAUUUUUCUAUAAUUAUUAAACCUCUGUGUAACUUAAUUAUGUAAUUCUUAGUGCUUUCUAUCUUGCUAUCUAUUGCAUUUUCUUCCUCCGAUAGUGAGUCAAAAAAUGCAAUAUCUACUUCUUUUUCUAUUGCUAGUGAUUUCUUUUCGUAAGGCAAAAUAUGCAUCUCAAAUUUAGGUUGUACAAAUGUUGAUUUUUUAAAGAAAUUUAUCCCAUUAGUAGUUGUUAAUAUACUACUAUUAUCUUCUAAUAUAAAAUUUAAUCCUAAAAUAAACUUAUAUCCUACUUUUUUACAACAGAUAAAUGUUUGAGGAACUCUAUUAACGGUUUCUCUAAACUCAUUCAUUUACUGUUAAUUUUAUUAAAUUUAAUUGUAUUUGUAAAUCUCUUUGUGUAUUUUUAAUAUUUUUUAUUUCAACUUUUAAAACUUCUACAAGACUUUUGAUUUAUAAUUCUACUAGUUUAGGUGCUUUUAUGUCUAAUAAUUUUAUUAAUUCUAUUAUUUCUUUUUUAUUACGGAACCUUGUAAUUUGACUAUUAAAAUCAGCUAAUGACUCUUUAAUAUAGUCUAAAUUCUUUCUUCGUGUAUUUUAUGUUACUUGCUUCAAAAAAUUGUCCUAACCGUAAUACUAGUUCUUUAAGCUUUUCUAGUUUAACUUCUAAGUGCUGUCCAAGAUUAAUUAUUAAGUCUAUUGUUGACCAUUACUCGUAUAUGGAAUAUGUUUAUAUUGAUUUUCUAAAUGCUCUAUAUUAUGAUUAAGUUUAAUUUUAUUUUCCUAUGACUACUAAUUUGUAAAUCCAAAUAUGCUAGUUUUUGAAAAUUCAUAAACUAAUUCUUUAACUAUUCUAGUUUAUUUCUAAUUUUAAAAAUUACAUUUUCAUAAUGAUCUAAUAAAUUUAGUUGUCUAUUGUAACUAUAUUUUACUAUAGAUAAGUGUGUAAGAGUGUAAUAUCUAACACUGACUUUUUUUUUUUUUAAUCAUUAUAGGGUCUAAUGGAUUUUUUUUUUAAUCAUUAUAGGGUCUAAUGGAGAUGUGUAAUCUACUAGAAGUUUAUUAUUUUCUAAUCUUUUUUCUAUUAAAUUAUUUAAUAUAGAGUGUUCUGCACUAAUUUCUACUUUUUUCUAGCUCUACAAUUUUUAAAGCAAUUUCUAAUUUUUCGGUAAAAGGAUUAAUCACAAAUACCCACAGCCAAAUUUGCUUUUGAAAGACUUGGAUUUUGCAGUCUUAUGUGUGACAUUUGUGCUGUGUUAUCUAUGGCCGCAUCCAAUCAUAUCUUACUAAAUUUUUGUACCGCGCUACCUAAAAUUUUCCCACUACCGGUAAUUUGAUAAGAGUCUUUGUCUUCUUCAGUCAGGCACGAAAAAAAAAAUGUUGGUUCAGAUCUAACUAUUCAAUCAAGAGCUAGCUCAGGACAAAAAGAAGUGUGCAAUUAGGGGACGAUACCGUAGACAGACAAUAGACAAAUUUUUCUUUGAAUGGUUUACUUUUGACUAAAUGAUCGGUGAUCCAACACCACUGAUCGUUUUUCAAAGGGACCCAUGUUAUGGAUGAAAAUUGAUAAAACUUGAACCCUAUUUUUUUUUCCCCCUCUCCGUUGUGUGAAUCAACCUUGGUUAAUUAAACUCACCGAAAUUGGAGGGGGAAAAAAUCUUGAAAAUACAUAAUAAUCUGCUCCAUUUCUACUUAAAAACUUUCUCUUUUAUGCAUCAUACUGGCCUUAAAUUCUUGCAGCAGAAAGCAAAACGCAGGGACCAUAAAGCCAUCAAUAGUUCUCUAAAUUUCCAAAUAUAUGCAACAACAAUAGUCAGUACACAAACUACUUUCAGGAGAUUUAUUUAACAACUUAGAAACGAGAUGUAAUUUGUAUUUAAAAUAUAAAUCAAUGACUAUAAGCUUAUUAUAACAAGCAUAGGAUGUGACCAGCCUAUUUUUCUUUAGCAAUAAAAUGAGGUUCCACAAGCUGCCUGGACAUAGGGUGUGUUUGGGAGAGCAGCUGCCUAUAUUCUAGGAGGAUAUGCCAGUGCGGCUGCCUCAAACGUAGGGAUGACAAAUAUUCAAUUAUGGAUGGAUAAUAUCCAUCCAAACACAAAUCCAUAAUUAUCCAUAAUGGAUAUAUCCAAAUCCAUACACAAUAUUUAAUAUUGGACAUGUAUAUGGAUUUUAUCCAUAUAACUAUGGAGAUCCAUGGAUAUCCAUGGAUAUUUUAUUUUUAUUAUAUAAAAAUAAUAAUCUAAAAUAGUUAAAAUUUCAAUAUUAAAUUUGGUUAUUAAACUAUUUAUAUUACUAAUAAUAUAUAUAUAUAUAUAAUAAAAUGGAGGUCCGGCGACGGUUCGGCGAUGUCCGACGGUGGUCCGGCAACUUUCCGGCGAAUUCAGGCGGAGCUCCGGCAACUUUCCGGCGAAUUCCUGCGGAGGUCUAGCGAAAUUCCGGCGAGGUCCGGUGGUGGUCCAAUGACUUUCCGGUGGAUGUCCAUUUAUAAUAUUAAAUUAAUAAAAUAAAAUAAUAAUUAUUAAUAGUCUGCUGUAUUUUUAUAAUUGUUUGUUUAUUAUAUUUUUUAUUUUUUAUUUUAUAAAAUUAAAAUUUUUUAAACUUGUUUUGAGUUAAACGGAUAUCCAUUGGGUAAAUAUAAUUAUCUAUAUCCAUCCAUAUUCAUCUGGAUAUAAUUUUAAAAUAUCCAUUUCAAAAUCCAAAAUUUUUUGGAUGGAUAUUAUCCGAUCCAAUUGGAUGGAUAUUGUGGAUAUCCAUUAUGAAGCGAUCCAGUUGCCAUCCCUACUCAAAUGCACACAUAAUUGUGGGGCGCUCUGUCUAGACGUUUCUGUAUUCCUUGUAGAAUGAGAGAAAGUUCCUUUCACAGCGGCCAUGAGCAAUUUUAUGAAUGAAGUUGCCUGGAUGAAUAGAGCUGCCCUACUAGGCUUAAUGAGUGACAUUUUUCAAGUCAUCAGCCAUAGACAAAAGGCUUCAACUUUAUGCUUGAAAAGCUCUGGUUGAGAUGGCACGCUGAAGUAUUGUUGGCUUGCUCUUACUAUCUGUCCAUGGCUACCAGAAAAUGAGAAAAUUCUUUUUACAAUGUCCUGGAAUAAUUUUAAAAAUCGAGCUGCUUUAAUGAAUGGAGCUACUCGUUUCUGCUCAAAGAGUAAUAAAUCAUCGGCUGUGAGAACAAAGGCUAUAAUAAAUCAUCAACUUUUGUAAGCGCUUGAAUGGUUCCUGUUGAGGUAGGGAGGUCAGAUGAAAAAUGGUCAAUUCUCCAACUCCAAGUCAACGAAUAUGCGUCUCCUAAUGAUUCAUAGCAAUCGUCACAUGAUUUCUUGACGAGCGAGAUAUACUGCUUCCCAUGUUAUAGUUUAUAGGGUGAUUAUGAUAUAUGUAGACCAGGGGUUACGCCUUGACCUUGACCUUGGAUACUUUGUUGAUGAUUUAAUUCUAGCAAUGUCUGAUGGGUCUCAUUUGACAAUUAAUAACAAUCCUGCUACCAGAUACCUGCUCAUCAUGGCUGGUCUUGUGGAGGUAUUACCCCCAAACAGGCUCCAUCGAAUACAAAGCAAGAACCUCAGAGAUAAACUGUUUUGCUCCAUAACACCAGAAUUAAUAGCAUCAAAGAAUAUCCCAAAAUCAUAGAUAGUUGCAUUUUGAGUCUUUGUAGAGCAAAAAUCAUUAGAAAAUGUGUAGCCUGGCCCAUUUAGUUUGUUUAUAUGAAUUCUUCCUUUCUUUAAUCAAUGCAUACAAUCGCUUAACCUUUAGCAAAUGUUGGACAAUAAACAGUUUCAUCACAGAGAAAAAUUUCUGGCCACUCAUCACGUUACUAUAAACUAAAAGCACCAACACCUGAACAGUUUGUACACCAUAAAGAUAGAAUUAUCAAUUAUGAAAUAUGAUUCCAUAUGAAAAGAAAAAGAAAAUUACAACCUAUGUGUGCUUGCUAGGAAUCCAACAUAAAUUGGUUUGGGCGUCCAUAGGUGUGCGCGCGUGCCCUUGCUUGGCUAAUUGGAACAAAUAAGUAAAAAGUACGACAGAACAAACAUUUACCUGUGGGAGUGGAAGAAUGAUGGCGAGAUCAAAUAGGAAGACGGGCAACAGAGAUAUGCUAUAAUUUCGAUGCCAAUUCUCCCAUAGUUGAAAAGCAUUAUUUAUCAAAAAAUAUAUAUCACAUCCUGUGCGUUCAACAAUACCCACCCUCAAAACCCAUAUGUCAAAUUGGAAGCACUUUUUGUCAUCGUUGAUCACGGGAAGGUACAAGAAAACAGGAUCAAAUACCAUGGAAUACACAUAAAUCAGCAAAAAAUUAACUUCCAGGAAACGUUUCGGCAGAUCACGAAUCUGCUGAAGGGAUGUUUUUUCUCCAUUACUCAAGCUUUCGAUCCGAGUGCGAUAAACAGAUUUUCCUGCUUCUCUCGCGCUCCUACUGAUGCUGUCCAUUUCAACACUAGCAACCCGUCUCGGCGUUCCUUCCUCUAAAUUCAAGUCCCGAGACUUCAUCGUCAUCACCAUAUACGAUAAUUGUAAUAAUACAUAGCUUGCACUUCAGCUCAGUAGGGCUCUAUACGUAUGUCAUUAAAUUAAUAGACAACUCGCUUAAGGCUUACAUAAUCAACGAAGGGGAAGGGAAAUUUAAGUAAAUGAAGCAAAGCUUGAUUUCAGUUUCCUUCAAUUAAAUACAGGUGGAUCCUUCACAAAUCAUCACUUCAGUGGCUGAGUCUUCGGAGUUCAGAGCAUGCUUAUCUUAUGUGCUAAUAAGUAUCUAGACACUGUGGUUCCUCAAGACUUUGACUUCAUGCACAAUUAAUCAAACAACCAAAAAAAAAAAAUUUCCAAUAAAUAUGUAAUUUCUGUAGCACCUUUUGAUUGAGUUGGGGCCGCAGGCAACUAAUAGUUACGACUUGAGGUUAGAACUUAUCCAUAUGCACAUUCUCAAUCUACGGUUCAUUAACCAAAAUUUUGGCCCCGAGAGGCUGCAAGCCUUAUCACGUCCCUCGUGUUUUUUGCUCACUAGUAGAAUUGAGUCUUUGUGCUUAUUGCUCAAGAUAAAUGUAAGCCUUACAAAUAUGAACUUGUUAAGAAUCCAAAUCCAAACUUGUGAACAAUGUCACGAUGCCCAUUACAAAUUUGAGCAAUGGUAGGAACAGUCGGGGCCUGCGUCCCCGGUCGCUUUAGAAAAUUUUUGAAGACCUCUGACCUUACUUCCUUUGAUUUUAUAAAAAUAUCCCAUUUGAGUUUUAAAAUUAUGAAAAGUUCAGUGCUUAUCUCUAGUUCAAAAAUUGAACUUACUUACUGCUAGUUCAAACACUGAAUUUUUGUGUAAAAAAUAAAUCAAUGGUCAUAUAUUGUUAUUUAAAUUCUUAUGAAAUUGUAUUAUACUAAUAAGGGUUUAAAAUGGAGAUAAAGAAAUCUCAUUUGUUAAAGACUAAUUCUCACCCUUUAUUAUUAUUUGAACUCAGAUGACUGCGGGUGCAAAACAUUUUUUCAGUCAGCUGAAUUUCAUUAAGAGAUGACAUUGUAUUAUAUGUUGAAUUUGAUCCAAUCGAAAAUUUUUUCUGGCUCGUCACUCUCAGACAUAACUUAGUUCACUAUAUGAGCAUAUUACGUGAUUGAAUUUCAUUGUCUUUUGUUGAUUCUCUGACCAUCUUAUGAUGUCUAGAUUGUAGUAUAUAAACCAGGUAAUAGAAGUCUAAAUACUUUGUAUAUAAAUUUUAAUGUCAUACUGUAAUUACUGUCUGCCAAUACUAUUGUAUUUUUCACUUUUACAGUCAGAAAAUUGUGCUGGGGCUUACUUAUGAUACGAGAAAUGUCUCAUUUUUAUCAAAAGAAAAUUACACUGCAAUAUACGUCCGUGGCAGGCAAACAAAGGACGGUUAAGGUAUCUUCAUCUGGAUUUGUAAUCUCGUUGAUGUAGAGUUUUACAUCAUUAAAGAUUCCGCCACGUGUCACACAUGAACGAAUCUGGCACGUGCCGACCACAAUCUCCCAUCUCAUUAUGUUCCUUCCAGUUUUCUCUCACUUUCUCGCGACAGAAAGUGUCGAACUCAAUAACAAAUAAAAAUUUCACAAACCCUUUUUCAAGUGCAUUGCAUAAACACUUUCUCACUCCCUGAAAAGUUGUUAAAGGUACAAUUUUUAACACCCUUUCUGGUUAAAAAAAAAAUGCAUUUCUGAUUCUACCAGGCACUUGAACAGGCUUCGGUUUCUUUGGUUUUGUAAAUUAAUGGUAAAACAAAUUAAAGAUUAAAGCUUUUAGGGGUUUGCUUGCUUCUUGCUGUUCAUUUUGGUUUCGCAAUUAUUAAAUUUUUAAUUACAGUUCUCGUACAUUCGUGCAUUGAUUUUUUUUUUUAUUAAGAUUCAUUCAAUAUCGUGUUUGUGUUAGGUGCUUGGUUCUUAUAUGUUGUUGGGUAUUGGUGAAUGAAUGAGAUGACAAUCUGUUCAUAAUUAUUAUUAGGCAAUGGUAAAAAGAAAAAAAAUUAAUUCUGUUAGUUUGGUUGGUGAGAGUAGUCGAAAAUAUUUAAUGAACUACGAAUACUUGCGAAUGGGUGAAUCACGUAAUCUUAAUUUUUGUGAAGCCGUGUAUUCGCAAAGGCAAGUGUGUGGGCGUUAGGGGUGGGCAAAUUCGGUUUGGAUCGGUUUGAAAUAUUUUCAAACCGAUAUCAACCUAAAAUUUUUUCAAACCGAACCGAUCCAAACUGAUUGGAUCAGUUUGGAUCGGUUUGGAUCCUCGGUUUGAGCUUAUUAGCUAAAAGCCCACUUCUUUUAUAUUAUUUUACCUAAAUUAUUUGUUUUUUUUUGUGUCCGUAAUCCAAAUUGAUACCUCUUUUAUAUUAUUCAUAUCUACUUUGAUAUCUACAUAACAAUUCAAAGAUACAUCCAUACAAGUUUGCAGCAUAAUACAUCCUAAUAAAGAUGUUCUUAACAUGUUCAUUCAAAACAAACUCACAAAAUUAAAAUAAACUUAAACAACAUUUGACAAUUAAAAUAUUGUGCAUCUUGUCCGUCAAAACUUAUGGCCCAAUUACUUUUGAUUUGUCAAAAUCUGCAUAAAAUGAUAAAUAUAAUUAGUUAGAUUGCUUAACUUAGAAUAUAAUGUAAUUAUAUAAUAUUUCUAGAUUGGAUCGGUUUGAAUCGGUUUGGAAUCCUUCCAAACCGAAAUCCAAACCGAGUGAUGUCGGUUUGCAAUCCAAUAAACUAAAAUCAGUUUUUUUACUAAUGAAACCGAUCCAAAUGAUCGGUUUGGAUCGGUUCGGUUAAAAUAUGCCCACUCCUAGUGGGCGUGGUUGAUAGGAAACUGAGAAGCACAAAUGCACAACAACUUCUUUCACAAUUUUUAAAUUUUGAAUUGAUUGCACUGCACGCAAGUUUCAAAUUUUGUUAGUUACAAUAAUAAAAUCGAUAUGACUACUACAUGUCUCCAUUUUACAACAGGAGUGCACGGCACCAAUCAAAAAUUAAAUUUUUUAUUAUUUAAUAAUAAAAAAAUUCUGGAUUAAUUUUAUUGCACACCCAAUGAACAAAACAAACAAAAACUAAAAAAAAUAAAGUAAAUAUCAUUGUCGGUGGCCAUCUUUAUCCAGUCAUCAAAGAAUUGGGUAAAAUUAUUGAGUGUUUUAAGUGUAUUAUUAUUCUGUGUGUUUUUUAAAUUAUUAAUUAUUUAUUGUGGUUAUAUAUUAAUUAUUCGUAAUAAUAUUUUAUAUACAUAUUAAAAUGAAUAGAUAAAAAAUAAUACUCUUCAAGUACCAAAGAAUUUUUCUCUCUUAUAAAUUGAAUCCAAUAAUUUAGUUAUAUUUAUCUCAUUAUCUGUAAUCUAUUAUUACAAAUAUUUAAACUUAAAACAUACAAAUCAAGAUAAUGUGAUUGUUAAAUUAAAACUCUUUCCAAAGUCAAUAAGUAAUCUUUCACAGCUUACAAGGCCUCAACUGAUGAGCAUUUAUUUAUGCAUUUUGGAUGGCCAUAGGAAUUAUAAAUCUUCCAGAGGCAUCAGAUUAAGGACGAAUUACAAUAAAUAAUAAGUAAAGCGAUUGUCACAAAAAAAAAUUUUAUUUCAAGAAUAAUUAGUGUUCAUAAAGAGUUAUGGAUGCAUUAGCGUUUAUUUAUUCAUUUCAUGUACUGAAUAAAAUGGGUGGCUAACUUAUAUUUAAAUUGUCAAAUGGUUCUGUUUCGGCAAUAUAAACUUGGUACUUAUGUUUUGGAAAAUUUUUAAGAUUAUAUAAAAUACUGUUGCUUGUUUAGGAAAAUAACUGUUUGAUGUUUUGGCAAUAUACCCAAGGUAAUGUUGCACUCCGUUCUAUUGAUAUCUGUAGUUCUAUUAAUCUUUUGAUAAUCAUUUUUUUGAAGUUUGACAGCUUCAGAAACGAUAUUAAUCUCAAUUGUUUUUAUCAUUAAGUUCAAACUUUGAAUUUUCUACUUAAUGAUGUUUUGAGAAGUGGGAAAUUUGUUGUUUAUGCUUUAGAUUGCAUAAGUCCAGACACAAGAUUUGGUUAUGGAAUUGAAUGUAUCCUGUGAAAUCUUUUUACGAUUGAGGGUUCUUUUCUUGGUUACAGUGGUGUCAUUGGGUUUCUGAUAUGCUCAACAGAGGGACCUCAUGUUGAUUUUGCGAACCCCAUUAAUCCUAUUGAGAAGUUGGAUGGAGCUGACAAGCAUAAAAGAGAAUUAAGGUUCUAUACCUCAGAGGUAAAGGCUCCUCAUUUCAAGUCUAGCUUUCCUUGGUCGUUGCUUCUUGAUUCUUUUUCUUAGAUAACCUAAAUGCUUGUGUGGUUGAAUUGUCAUUGAGUUAAUAUUUUGGUAGUGUUACUGUGUUAGAUGAGAAAGUAUGAUGGCCUGCAUUUAAUAUUUGUGUUGUGUUGACAGAUUCAAUUAUAUAGUUGCCUCCGCGUUGCCUGCAUUUUUGAAGAGGGAGGUGAGCGUACUUAGUGAUUCUCCAACUCCAAGUCAACGAAUCUGCGCGUCCUAAUGAUUCAUAGCAAUCAUCCCAUUUAUUUAUGAUUAGCGAGAUUUAGUGCUUCCCAUGUUAUAGUUUAUAGGAUGAUUAUGAUAUAUGUAGACGAGGGGUUACGCCUUGAGCUUGACCUUGGAGACUUUGUUGAUGAUCUGAUUAUAGCAAUGUAUCAUGGUUCUUGUUAAGUAAAUAAGAGCAUCAGCUCUGCCAUAUCAUCAUCCCCACCCCGGGGUGGGUCACCUCAGCCAAAUGGUACGAGCAGAGCACUGAUAAUGAGCCUUAUACAAGCAUGGACCGACCAAAGAUGAGUACCGGCCAGGGGGAUACACCGACCAGAGACAUAUACCGAGCAGAUACUCAUUCCCCAAAGAGCGGGAACACGAUCUCACAAGAUCUCGACAGUUGCGCUUUUCCCAGAACUGUUGAGGGAGACACGAUGUCCCAUGUUUGCCCACAAUGUAGCAGUUGGAGUCCCAUGAGGGGCUGCCAUGACCCGAGAAAGGGGGGAUGAAGGGUGAUCAGAAACGUGGGACAGCGGCUAUAAAAGAGGAAGAAACCAAUGAAAAAGAGAUAAGAAAACUGAGAGAGAGGGAAAACUCUGCCAAAAUGAAACUAGACUGUUUUUCUGCCUAAAUUGAGAGCGAAUCGUAAGCCAUUCUGAAAUCUAAAUUGAACCGUUUUCCCGUAAACACCUUGUGCUAACUUAGGCAUCGGAGGGUUUACGCCGGUAAAACCACCGGCGUCUCUGAUCCAUUUCUUUGUGAAUGCAGGAUUAGCGAGAUAAAAAGGGGUGAUUUCAACCUAGUGACGUAAGCGGUCGUUAAGGCAAGGAGAGAGUGACAUCGUCCCAUCAAACAUAUAAACGUUGGUGGAAAAUCUGGUCGGGUAAAGGGCGAGCAGAUUUCAACAUCAACAGUUCUCAUUUGACAAUUAAUACUUAUUUUAUUAUAUUAAUAGCUUACUUUUAAACUUCAUGAAAAUUAUAUGAUUAUCGUUCAAUUUAGAUUUUCUUUUAUUAUAAAAGUUUUGCCAGUGGCCAUCUUAGCGAUGGAUUGAUUAAUAAAAUUUUCCCAUUAUAGGAUGGAAUAAAUAUUAAAAUCAGGAACACACUAAUUUAAUAUCAUUCGAUGUAUCUCUACUAGUUAUAAUUUCUAUUAUCUUCAUCAUCCAAGUCACCUAAGAAUUUUCCCAUCUUUACUGAGUGCUGACAGUGCCACAAGCAAGCCAAGAUAUUAGUUUGUUAAGUUCUCUUGUGAGUCAACUCUGCGCGCGUGUGUUAGAGCUUGGUAAUUCCAUUACGGACUGAAGUUUAGCAGUUAAAUGCUUACUCCCUUGGUGUACGCAUAAUUUCUGAAUGAUACAUUUUGCUGGAAAAGAGACGGUCCAUACUGCCAUCCGAACUAGAAAUUAGGACAUAGAAAAUAUAUAUAAUCAAACACUAUAACGGAGUAAUGCUAACUUCAUAUAUAUACACAUCAACUGUAUCAGGCUUCGGUUUCGAAUAUCUCAAACUCAUAUACUUCCGUCCAAAUUUAUUCUUGGGAUAGGUCCUUAAUUAAGAUCAUGAACACGCCCUAAAAUACUAACGAUGCCGCAUCUGAUCUGAAUGCUCAAACUAUUAUUUUAGUAGCCGACGCUUGCGCACUCCAUCUAGUUUGUCAGAAUACUUGCAUACGGUAGCUGCAUUGUUUUGCUUAAUUAUCAAUAUUCAAUAGUACCUGCUUUAAAUCAUAUGCCAUAAGAACAAAUGCUUCAACUUUUGUAAGCGCUUGGAUUGUUUUAGUUGAUAUAGGGAGGUUGGAUGAGUUGUGGCCAGCCUUCGCCCAAGCAAUGAGUUCUUCUCCAGAAAAGUCACCACCUUCCAGAUGGUUGUUCAGGUUACCAGAAUUGCUUGAUAAUUCAGUUACCCUCCUGGAAGUGUAGGUCCAUAACUUGCCUUGUAGCACGAAGAGCAUUUGAUCAAUUGGGUUUUCCUCCUGGAUAAUGUAAGAGCGCUCUGUGAAGACAGCUGGCUUCACAACAUCACACAGUUUCUCCAACGAUGAACCAUCCAAGUUUCCAAACUCUUCUACCUAUACAAACAUACAUCCAAUAUUGUUACUGUAAUCUAAAAGGCUCAAUGCUGAUAAUGAAAUUCAGCUUCUGAAUGCAGAAAAUUGAAAAUAAAAGUUGAUCUAGAACUAUCUCAGCUAAAAUGAGAUUCAUUCCCCAACGCUAAAAACAUAUCAGGGUUGAGUUUAUGUUGAGGUGAUGUGGACUUUAGCUAUUGCGCUUUCAAAACCAUGCAAAAGUUCAAAUAGUUACAAACAUUUACCCUUGAGUUUAUUCGAUCGAGUUAAAGAAGAGGAAAAUAUUUUCAUUAGUUUUUCGGAUUGUUGUUUAUAUGCUGCUAGCCUCUCCUUUGUCAGUUCCACAAAUUCAGAAGUAGGAGGCACAAAUAUAGUUGUAAAGAUCUCUUACUCACUUUUUUUAGCAGGUCUAAGCAGAGUUUUUGUUUUAUGUUCUUCCUGAGGUCCUCUGGAAGAUUGUUCACCAGAUAUUCUACAUCAAUACCUGUGGUUUCUUGCACUUUGGAUAACUGAUGUUCCUUGAUCUCCAUUUGGAGUUUCUCAGGGAGCUUUUCAACGGGCCGCCACUUGUAUAUUUCUUGUACCUUCUGUCUUAUCUCCUCUGCUUUUGACAUUUCAGACUGCAAAUUGCGCAAGAAUCAUAGUUCAUAGAAAAUUAAAAUUUAUUGUGCUUCAUCUCAAUCAACCAUAAAGAACCCAUUUUAAGAGACAAGAAUCAGACGAGAAAAUAAAAUAAAAUAAAAUAAAAUAAAGAUACACCAACCUGGACCUUUCCAAUCAAGAAGAAAAACAGCACUACCCCAGUGAUGGUAAUUGAAAUCACAAAGAUGUUUUCCAAGACAUUGGUACUGAAUGGGAGACCUUGACCAAAAGAACUGCAAAGUCAAACCCACAAAUUUAUUAGAACUAAUGUUUUUGAGUUUAAUUGCUAAAAAAACAUAAAAAUACGUAUGCGUAAUUAUAUGCACCAAAAACAUAGAAAGGCAUAUGCACAAAGAUUGUUACAAGGAGAAUGAUGUAUAUCCACAACUUAACCUGAGAUUUUGCAGGCUCCAUCGAAUACAAGGGAAGAACCUCAGAAAUAAAUUGUUUUGCUCAAUAACACUAGAAUUAAUAGCAUCAUAGAAUAUCCCAAAAUGGUAGGUAGUUGCAAUUUGAGUCUUUGUAGAGCAAAAAUCAUUAGAAAAUGUGUAGUUUGUUAAACUGUUGUCACAGUGUAAGGGAAGGAGACGGCAUUUGGCAGAAUCUGUGCAGGCUUUCCUCCAACAUUCGGUCUUUCUUUGUAGAGCAAAAAAGUACCAUAAUGCUCCAAACCCCUAAACAACCAUCAAUUAGAUCAUCAGGAAUUAUAAAUUACCCAAAAAGAGUAAAGAGAAAUAGAAUAUAUUGGAGACUUGGGAGGCAAGUAAACUUACAUUAGCAGCAUGUAGGUAAAAGAGAUUGAACGUGAGCCUGGCCCAUUUAGUUUGUUUAUAUGAAUUCUUCCUUUCUUUAAUCAAUGCAUACAAUCGGAUAACCUUUAGCAAAUGUUGGACAAUAAACAGGUUCAUCACAGAGAAAAAUUUCUUGCCACUCAUCACGUUACUAUAAACUAGAAGCACCAACACCUGAACAGUUUGUACACCAUAAAGAUAGAAUUAUCAAUUAUGAAAUAUGAUUCCAUAUGAAAAGAAAAAAAUUACAACCUGUGUGCUUGCUAGAAAUCCAACAUAAAUUGGUUUGGGCGUCCAUAGGUGUGCGCGCGUGCCCUUGCUUGGCUAAUUGGAACAAAUAAGUAAAAAGUACGACAGAACAAACAUUUACCUGUGGGAGUGGAAGAAUGAUGGCGAGAUCAAAUAGGAAGACGGGCAACAGAGAUAUGCUAUAAUUUCGAUGCCAAUUCUCCCAUAGUUGAAAAGCAUUAUUUAUCAAAAAAUAUAUAUCACAUCCUGUGCGUUCAACAAUACCCACCCUCAAAACCCAUAUGUCAAAUUGGAAGCACUUUUUGUCAUCGUUGAUCACGGGAAGGUACAAGAAAACAGGAUCAAAUACCAUGGAAUACACAUAAAUCAGCAAAAAAUUAACUUCCAGGAAACGUAUCGGCAGAUCACGAAUCUGCUGAAGGCAUGUUUUUCCUCCAUUACCCAAGCUUUCGUUCAGAGUGCGAUAAACAGAUUUUGCUGCUUCUCUCGCGCUCCAACUGAUGCAGUCCAUUUCAACACUAGCAACUCGUCUCGGCGUUCCUUCCUCUAAAUUCAAGUCCCGAGACCUGAAAAAAUAAAGUCAACUUCAUCGUCAUCACCAUAUACGAUAAUUGUAAUAAUACAUAGCUUGCACUUCAGCUCAGUAGGGUUCUAUACGUAUGUCAUUAAAUUAAUAGACAACUCGCUUAAGGCUUACAUAAUCAACGAAGGGGAAGGGAAAUUUAAGUAAAUGAAGCAAAGCUUGAUUUCAGUUUCCUUCAAUUAAAUACAGGUGGAUCCUUCACAAAUCAUCACUUCAGUGGCUGAGUCUUCGGAGUUCAGAGCAUGCUUAUCUUAUGUGCUAAUAAGUAUCUAGACACUGUGGUUCCUCAAGACUUUGACUUCAUGCACAAUUAAUCAAACAACCAAAAAAAAAAAAUUUCCAAUAAAUAUGUAAUUUCUGUAGCACCUUUUGAUUGAGUUGGGGCCGCAGGCAACUAAUAGUUACGACUUGAGGUUAGAACUUAUCCAUAUGCAUAGUCUCAAUCUACGGUUCAUUAACCAAACUUUUGGCCCCGAGAGGCUGCAAGUCUUAUCAUGUCCCUCGUGUUUUUUGCUCACUAGUAGAAUUGGAUCUUUGUGCUUAUUGCUCAAGAUAAAUGUAAGCCUUAACCUGAGAGCUUGCAGGCUCCAUUGAAAACAAGGCAAGUACCUCCGAAAAAAAUAGUUUUGAUCCAAAACACCCGAUUGAAUAGCAUCACGGAAUAUCCCAAAAUCAUAGAUAGUUGCAUUUUGGGUCUUUGUAGAGCAAAAAUCACUAAAAAAUGUGUAGUUUGUUAAACUGUCAUCGCAGUGCAAAGGAAGGAAAUCACAUCUGGUAAAAUCUGUGCAGGCUUUCUUCCAACAUUCAGCCUUUCUUUGUACAGCGAAAAAGUACCAUAAUGAUCCAAACACCUAAAGAACCGUCAAGUAGAUCACCAGGAACUAUAAAUUACCCAAAAAACAGUAAAGAGAAAUAGAACAUUUUGGAGACUUAAGAGGCAAGUAAACUUACGUUAGCAGCCUGUAGGUAACCGAAAUUGAACGUCAGAUUGGCCCAUUUAUUAAGGUUAUAUGAAUUCUUCCAUUCUGUAAUCAAUUUAGCCAAUCGGAUAACCUUUAACCCAUGUUGUACAAGAAACAGGUUCAUCAGAGAGAAAAAUUCCUGGCCACUAAUUCUUUGACUAUAAGCUAGAAGCACCAACACCUGAAUAGUUU